AUGUGGCACUUUUCGGAUUUUGAG
rnacentral:miRNA from 1 species